CGGUAGCUAAUACCGCAUAACGUCGCAAGACCAAAGAGGGGGACCUUCGGGCCUCUUGCCAUCGGAUGUGCCCAGAUGGGAUUAGCUAGUAGGUGGGGUAACGGCUCACCUAGGCGACGAUCCCUAGCUGGUCUGAGAGGAUGACCAGCCACACUGGAACUGAGACACGGUCCAGACUCCUACGGGAGGCAGCAGUGGGGAAUAUUGCACAAUGGGCGCAAGCCUGAUGCAGCCAUGCCGCGUGUAUGAAGAAGGCCUUCGGGUUGUAAAGUACUUUCAGCGGGGAGGAAGGGAGUAAAGUUAAUACCUUUGUUCAUUGACGUUACCCGCAGAAGAAGCACCGGCUAACUCCGUGCCAGCAGCCGCGGUAAUACGGAGGGUGCAAGCGUUAAUCGGAAUUACUGGGCGUAAAGCGCACGCAGGCGGUUUGUUAAGUCAGAUGUGAAAUCCCCGGGCUCAACCUGGGAACUGCAUCUGAUACUGGCAAGCUUGAGUCUCGUAGAGGGGGGUAGAAUUCCAGGUGUAGCGGGUGAAAUGCGUAGAGAUCUGGAGGGAAUACCGGUGGCGAAGGCGG
rnacentral:rRNA from 1 species